GGCCCGGUAACUCAAUGGAUAGAGUAGCUCCGUCCUAAGGAGAAGGUUAUGCGUUCGACUCGCGUCCGGGCUACCA
rnacentral:tRNA from 1 species